GGAGAGGUGUCCGAGUGGUUUAAGGAGCAGCAUUGGAAAUGCUGUGUAAGUGCAUUUUCUUACCGAGGGUUCGAAUCCCUCUCUCUCCG
rnacentral:tRNA from 1 species